UACGUAGGGAGCAAGCGUUGUCCGGAAUCAUUGGGCGUAAAGCGCACGUAGGUGGCUUCGUAAGUCCGUUGUGAAAGUCAAAGGCUCAACCUUUGAAUGCCGAUGGAUACUGCGGAGCUAGAGUACGGAAGAGGCGAGUGGAAUUCCUGGUGUAGCGGUGGAAUGCGCAGAUAUCAGGAGGAACACCAAUAGCGAAGGCAGCUCGCUGGGACGUUACUGACACUAAGGCGCGAAAGCGUGGGGAGCGAACAGG
rnacentral:rRNA from 1 species